GGCUCAGAUUGAACGCUGGCGGCAUGCCUUACACAUGCAAGUCGAACGGCAGCACGGACUUCGGUCUGGUGGCGAGUGGCGAACGGGUGAGUAAUGUAUCGGAACGUACCUUUCAGUGGGGGAUAACGUAGCGAAAGUUACGCUAAUACCGCAUAUUCUGUGAGCAGGAAAGCAGGGGAUCGCAAGACCUUGCGCUGAUUGAGCGGCCGAUAUCAGAUUAGCUAGUUGGUGAGGUAAAGGCUCACCAAGGCGACGAUCUGUAGCGGGGUCUGAGAGGAUGAUCCGCCACACUGGAACUGAGACACGGUCCAGACUCCUACGGGAGGCAGCAGUGGGGAAUUUUGGACAAUGGGGGCAACCCUGAUCCAGCCAUGCCGCGUGAGUGAAGAAGGCCUUCGGGUUGUAAAGCUCUUUCGGCCGGGAAGAAAUCGCAUGGGCUAAUACCCUGUGCGGAUGACGGUACCGGCAUAAGAAGCACCGGCUAACUACGUG
rnacentral:rRNA from 1 species